rnacentral:rRNA from 1 species
AUUGAACGCUGGCGGCAUGCCUUACACAUGCAAGUCGAACGGCAGCGCGGGGCAACCUGGCGGCGAGUGGCGAACGGGUGAGUAAUAUAUCGGAACGUACCCUAGAGUGGGGGAUAACGUAGCGAAGUUACGCUAAUACCGCAUACGAUCUAAGGAUGAAAGUAGGGGGAGUCGCAAGACCUCAUGCUCGUGGAGCGGCCGAUAUCUGAUUAGCUAGUUGGUGGGGUAAAGGCCUACCAAGGCAUCGAUCAGUAGCUGGUCUGAGAGGACGACCAGCCACACUGGAACUGAGACACGGUCCAGACUCCUACGGGAGGCAGCAGUGGGGAAUUUUGGACAAUGGGCGCAAGCCUGAUCCAGCAAUGCCGCGUGAGU